UACGGGGGGGGCAAGCGUUGUUCGGAAUUACUGGGCGUAAAGGGCUCGUAGGUGGCCAACUAAGUCAUACGUGAAAUCCCUCAGCUUAACUGGGGAACUGCGUCUGAUACUGGAUGGCUUGAGUUCGGGAGAGGAAAGCGGAAUUCCGGGUGUAGCGGUGAAAUGCGUAGAUAUCCGGAGGAACACCAGUGGCGAAGGCGGCUUUCUGGACCGACACUGACGCUGAUGCGCGAAAGCGUGGGGAGCAAACAGG
rnacentral:rRNA from 1 species